rnacentral:rRNA from 1 species
UACGAAGGUGGCAAGCGUUACUCGGAAUUACUAGGCGUAAAGGGCAGGUAGGUGGUUUGGUAAGUCUGUUGUGAAAGCUCCUUGCUUAACGGGGAGAGGCCAACAGAUACUGCCAGGCUUGAGUAUAGGAGAGGGUACUGGAAUUCCCGGUGUAGCGGUGAAAUGCGCAGAGAUCGGGAGGAACACCAAUGGCGAAAGCAGGUACCUGGACUAUUACUGACACUCAGCUGCGAAAGCUAGGGGAGCAAACAGG